UUUCAUGGAGAGUUUGAUCCUGGCUCAGGACGAACGCUGGCGGCGUGCCUAAUACAUGCAAGUCGAGCGGACCGAYGGGAGCUUGCUCCCUUAGGUCAGCGGCGGACGGGUGAGUAACACGUGGGUAACCUGCCUGUAAGACUGGGAUAACUCCGGGAAACCGGGGCUAAUACCGGAUGCUUGAUUGAACCGCAUGGUUCAAUCAUAAAAGGUGGCUUUUAGCUACCACUUACAGAUGGACCCGCGGCGCAUUAGCUAGUUGGUGAGGUAAYGGCUCACCAAGGCGACGAUGCGUAGCCGACCUGAGAGGGUGAUCGGCCACACUGGGACUGAGACACGGCCCAGACUCCUACGGGAGGCAGCAGUAGG
rnacentral:rRNA from 1 species